CUGCAGCUGGUACAACAUUAUAUGUUUCAAUAGCUCCCAACACAUAACUGAACCACCAAAUUGAGGAGAAGGCAGAAGUUAAGAUACACAGAAGUAGUGCACAUUUUGACUUAAGAAAAUAAAACACAACAAAAACGUUGUUGGACAAUGAAAGAAUGAUAAGACAAAAACUUGGUGGUUAGAAUUUAUAUGCUCGCCUUUGUAAAAACUUGUUAAUUCAACCCUUUCUUCUUGAAGGUGAAGACAAUACUAAAGAAAUGAAAUUAAAUGUCCCAAACUAAAAACGAUAUGGUUAUAAUGGGGGCUAAUUCUGAAUCUUUUCAAAUCCCCCCUUCACUCUUCUUUACUAAUACAAAGAGUUUAUAAUAUCUUAAUCUAUUGUUGAUCAUUAAACAAACUUCAUUUAAUAAAAAAAAAUACGAUGAGAUACCAAAUAGCAAAAAUGAAUGAAAUGAGAUUCAUUAUUCACUUAGUUUAACUUGAAAUAAAAUAUAACAAGAUAUAUAUAUACACACCUUAUAUAGGACAUUAUGUAAUGGGACAAUGAAGAAUAAGUUCAAUAAACUUUAAUGUACCCCAAUCUACCAUAAACUUGAGUUCACUCAAAACCUUUAAGAAAAUGGACAAAUAGAAAUAUAAUCAAGCAAACAUAAUCAUUUUGUUAGGUACAUGCAAGAUAAACUAUUCCACACCAACAUCUAUAAUCAGUCUACAAAUGAAAUCUUUGAGUUUCACAAGCUAAACUCAAUUUAAACUUUGAACUAAUAAGUCCAAACAAUUUUCAUUGUAAUUCAAUAGUUAAAAACGUACCUUGGAGCCCUUCCAACCCUAUCAAAAAAACAUAUAAGUCUAGCACUUUAACAAAUUUCUAGUGCAUAUUAUGCAUCUCAAUUGAUCACAACAAAAUAAGAUUGAACAUAAAUACUCAUAAGUAAUACCUUUUCAAUGUUGCAUUUUCAUAAAAAUUCAAGAAGUAUUGUCACUCUCUCAAGGAUUCUUCAAGCCCUAAGUAUGAAAAAAUGUUCACUGAUUAAAUCGUACUCCAUUUACAUGAUAAUUUGACAAAGUUGAGUUGAUAACUCUCAUAAAGCCCUUAAUCCGCCCUCCCCCCAAUUUCCAACAUUAUUGUUGGAAAGGAACAACAAGAUCUUUCAAAGUAAGGAAAGAACUACUAUGGAGAUUUUAGAUGAUAUUAAUUCAAGCAAACGUUGAUAUACUACUAAUAUACCAUACUAAUUAGACUAAAACACUUUCAACGAGACUAGAACUAUACAAAAUAUACUUUAAACCACAAUAGUUGAAUAUGUAUUUUGGUAGGGAGGUAGACACUACUUACUUGAACAAAUAACGACAACGUCCUUGAAGUAAGAGAACUUCUGCUAAUCCUCAAUUCAAUCAAUUAUUCAAAAUGUCAUAAGGUAGUCAUAGGAAAAAAAUAUAGUUUAAAAACGUUGAUAAAAAGUAAGGUAAAAAAAGUGUAUAGACUUAAGUUUCAAAAACUUAAAGCCAAAAACCAAAUAGAUAACAUACAUAAAUUCCCUUGGAAAGUGUAUAGGCUUAAGUUUCAACAUACACAUUCAUACCUUUCCAAUGUGUAUAACAUACAUCGCGGUUUAUGUCUCAAGCAAAGGGUGUAUUUCAACAUUUUCAAAUUUACUCCUCUUGGAAAAAUCUAGCAUGGUAAGUGGCAAAUAAAAUUCUACCAUACAAAAUAAAUCUUAAUUCACCAUCAUUUUUUUGUCUUUCCUUUCAAUAUAGAACAUGUAGUAAUUUUUGUUGCUACUAUCCUUAUUGUAAGAAAGGGAGCGAGAACAUACCUAUAAUUAUCAAUAAUCACUUCCCUCUAUCCUUCAAUCAAAGCAACUCAAUAGCAACCAUAAACAAAAUAUCAAUAGAAAAAUCAAAAGUACUAAAAUUCACUUGGAAAAUGCAUAGACAAACAAAAAGACCCUACACACCAUCAAAGUUUAAGAUCUCACAUUUCAUUUUUCAUUUUUUUUUUCUCAAAGCUUCAGCCCAUAGCCAUGACAUCUCCUUUGGCCUUAAUUUC
rnacentral:lncRNA from 1 species